rnacentral:rRNA from 1 species
GACGAACGCUGGCGGCGUGCCUAACACAUGCAAGUCGAGCGGAGUUAAUUGAAAGCUUGCUUUUGGUUAACUUAGCGGCGGACGGGUGAGUAACGCGUGGGCAACCUGCCUAUCACAGGGGGAUAACACAGGGAAACUUGUGCUAAUACCGCAUAAUACAGCGAGAAAGCAUUUUCUUGUUGUCAAAGGAGCAAUCCGGUGAUAGAUGGGCCCGCGUCCAAUUAGCUAGUUGGUGAUGUAACGGACCACCAAGGCGACGAUUGGUAGCCGAACUGAGAGGUUGAUCGGCCACAUUGGGACUGGGACACGGCCCAGACUCCUACGGGAGGCAGCAGUGGGGAAUAUUGCACAAUGGGGGAAACCCUGAUGCAGCAACGCCGCGUGAAGGAUGAAGGUUUUCGGAUUGUAAACUUCUUUAGUCAGGGACGAAUAAAUGACGGUACCUGAAGAAUAAGCCACGGCUAACUACGUGCCAGCCGCCGCCGUAA